CCUACGGGGGGCAGCAGUGAGGAAUAUUGGUCAAUGGACGCAAGUCUGAACCAGCCAUGCCGCGUGCAGGAAGACGGCUCUAUGAGUUGUAAACUGCUUUUGCACGAGGGUAAACGCAGAUACGCGUAUCUGUCUGCAAGUAUCGUACGAAUAAGGAUCGGCUAACUCCGUGCCAGCAGCCGAGGUAAUACGGAGGAUUCAAGCGUUAUCCGGAUUUAUUGGGUUUAACGGGUACGUAGGCGGUGUGAUAAGUUAGAGGUGAAAUCCCGAGGCUCAACUUCGGAAUUGCCUCUGAUACUGGUCGGCUAGAGAGUAGUUGCGGUAGGCGGAAUGUAUGGUGUAGCGGUGAAAUGCGUAGAGAUCAUACAGAACACCGAUUGCGAAGGCAGCUUACCAAGCUACGUCUGACGUUGAGGCACGAAAGCGUGGGGAGCAAACAGGAUUAGAUACCCGGGUAGUC
rnacentral:rRNA from 1 species